GAAACGCGACCUUUGAUCUUUCACGUGAAUCUUCUUCCUCUUUCGCGAAGGGUAUGCAGCGGCGGCCGGAGAUUAUGCUUCCUCCGAUUAGCUUUCUCCGCCGCGAACCAACGAAGCAAAACAAGAAUCGCCUCGCCUCCCUAAUUCAAGAACUCAGCCUCAAUCGCCCUCUCUCAGUCUCCUUCAAACGCGAGUCGAAGCGAGAAAAUCCAAACAAUGAGCUUCCAAUCCUCUAGGUGCAAACGUCUUGCAUAUUACACCUCUUUUCUUCUUCUCCUUUGUUGCUCUGAAACAAUUCUGAGCUUUUUCCUUUUCGUGUUGGUGAGAUGAAGAUUUCAGGAGUCGUUGAAGGUAAAUAAUGGAAGUAGUUUGAAGUUUGUGCUAUCUUUUUCUGCCAACUGAAGGUUGAAGAUGAAGGAUGCUCCAGGACUUCAAGAAAGAAUUGAAGGUGGUGAAGGUGAUGAUGAUUUCAUUGAAUGGAGGGAGAUGAAGUGAACAGGUUCAGUUGUAUUGAAGGGUGAGGAGUGAAGAAUGAAGUUGCAGAGUGGAGAUUUGAAGAUGAUGAAUGAAGUGAAGAGAAUUGUGGUGGAGGAUUGGUGAAAAUGGUGGAGUAUGAAUUGAUGAAGAUGAUUAGAGGUUCCAGGUGAAAAAAGGUGAAGAAGAAUGAAUCGAGAGAGUGAAAGUGGUGGAGGCGAUGAUAGGUGAAAGUGAAGAUAAUGGUGUUGAUGAAGAAUAGUUGUAGGUUGAGGAUUAUGGAGAUGGUGAAAUGGUGGAGUGGAGAGUGUGAAAAGGUGGAGAAAUGAAUCGAGAGAGUCCAUGAGAAUGAUGGAGAAGCUCUUAUAUAGAGGUCUAGUAUACCGAUACAUAUGACGGCUAUAGGAUAAGGCCUCAUGAUUUCCAUUCGAGCCACAUUGGAUGCGUGAUGCCCGAGCCACCAUUGGUUCUUAACCGAGUCUUCGAGAUGCCGACUUAUUGAAAUGGGCAUGGAUGAUGAGUGUGAGUUGUGUUCAUUAUUUAUGUUUUCUGCUAAUGUGAACUGGAAAUAGUUAGUGGGCGAUAACAAUGGAAGUUAGCCCGUUCAGAAACGGUCCGAUGCAGCGCGGUUAGAGUUAAGAGAUUGCUCUGACAGUUAAUGAAAUGUGAUGCUGCCAAAUGAUGAUGAUGAUGGUUAGUUGAAAUGUUGCAGCAGGGUGCUUUCUGGUUGACAGUAUGGCGGAAUGAAGAUUGGCGAGAGCGAGACGAAACUUGGAGAACAUUGAAGAAUAGAUUAGAAUUUCCCUUUGUAGUUUUUUUUUAAUGAGACCUGUAAUGUAAUUUGGAUCUUGCUUCUUGU